GAUAUGUUGGUUCAAGCCUGUAGUCGUGCCUGGUAGGUAAAUCCGCCGGGCUUAGAUGAGGGGUGAUAACGAGUCUGCUUGCAGACGAAGUGAGUGAUACCCUGCUUCCAGGAAAAGCCACUAAGCUUCAGCUACACACGACCGUACCGCAAACCGACACUGGUGCGCGAGAUGAGUAUUCUAAGGCGCUUGAGAGAACUCAGGAGAAGGAACUCGGCAAAUUGACACCGUAACUUCGGAAGAAGGUGUGCCUUUAGUAGGUGAAGUCCCUGCGGAUGGAGCCCAAUGAGGUUGCAAAAAAUCGGUGGCUGCGACUGUUUAAUAAAAACACAGCACUCUGCAAACACGAAAGUGGACGUAUAGGGUGUGACGCCUGCCCGUUGCUGGAAGAUUAAAUGAUGGGGUGCAAGCUCUUGAUUGAAGUCCCAGUAAACGGCGGCCGUAACAAUAACGGUCCUAAGGUAGCGAAAUUCCUUGUCGGGUAAGCUCCGACCUGCACGAAUGGCGUAACGAUGGCCACACUGUCUCCUCCUGAGACUCAGCGAAGUUGAAAUGUUUGUGAUGAUGCAAUCUCCCCGCGGAAAGACGGAAAGACCCCAUGAACCUUUACUGUAGCUUUGUAUUGGACUUUGAACAGAUCUGUGUAGGAUAGGUGGGAGGCUUUGAAGCAGGGUCGUUAGAUCUUGUGGAGCCAACGUUGAAAUACCACCCUGGUGUGUUUGAGGUUCUAACCUAGGUCCAUUAUCUGGAUCGGGGACAGUGCAUGGUAGGCAGUUUGACUGGGGCGGUCUCCUCCCAAAGUGUAACGGAGGAGUUCGAAGGUACGCUAGGUACGGUCGGACAUCGUGCUAAUAGUGCAAUGGCAUAAGCGUGCUUAACUGCGAGACUGACAAGUCGAGCAGAUGCGAAAGCAGGACAUAGUGAUCCGGUGGUUCUGUAUGGAAGGGCCAUCGCUCAAUGGAUAAAAGGUACUCUGGGGAUAACAGGCUGAUACCGCCCAAGAGUUCAUAUCGACGGCGGUGUUUGGCACCUCGAUGUCGGCUCAUCUCAUCCUGGGGCUGUAGCCGGUCCCAAGGGUAUGGCUGUUCGCCAUUUAAAGAGGUACGUGAGCUGGGUUUAAAACGUCGUGAGACAGUUUGGUCCCUAUCUUCCGUGGGCGCUGCAGAUUUGAGGAAGCCUGCUCCUAGUACGAGAGGACCGGAGUGGACGCACCUCUGGUGUAUCGGUUGUCACGCCAGUGGCAUUGCCGAGUAGCUAAGUGUGGAAGAGAUAACCGCUGAAAGCAUCUAAGCGGGAAACUCGUUUCAAGAUGAGAUCUGCCGGGGCCUUGAGCCCCCUAAAGAGUCGUUCAAGACCAGGACGUUGAUAGGUCAGGUGUGGAAGCGCAGUAAUGCGUUAAGCUAACUGAUACUAAUUGCUCGUGUGGCUUGACC
rnacentral:rRNA from 1 species